rnacentral:rRNA from 1 species
AUGCGAGCUUCCAAAGCCCCAGACGGCGAUUUCCUGAGACGGUUCAUUCUGUACGUAAUUGGUACUGUUCUAGCACCAACAACACAACAUUAUGUGGACUCGAAAUUUCUCAACCUUGUUACAGAUCUUGAAAACCUUCGGAAAUUUAACUGGGGAUGUUUCACACUUAAUCACUUCUUCAAGUCCGUUCACAAGUUUAGAAAUCGAGAUCACGUAAAUCUACAAGGAAAUCUAAUUCUGCUCCAGUAUUGGUACUGGGAGCACGUGCGUAGUGGCCGAUUAAUGUAUGCUUCUAGACCCCCUCCAUUGAUCGCAUGA